rnacentral:rRNA from 1 species
CUACGGGGGGCACCAGUGAGGAAUAUUGCACAAUGGAGGAAACUCUGAUGCAGCAACGCCGCGUGGAGGAUGACGCAUUUCGGUGUGUAAACUCCUUUUAUAUGUCAAGAAAAUGACGGUAGCAUAUGAAUAAGCACUGGCUAACUCCGUGCCAGCAGCCGCGGUAAUACGGAGGGUGCAAGCGUUACUCGGAAUCACUGGCGUAAAGGACGCGUAGGCGGGAUAUCAAGUCAGGUGUGAAAUCCUACAGCUUAACUGUAGAACUGCACUUGAAACUGGUAACCUAGAGUAUGGGAGGGGGAGAUGGAAUUAGUGGUGUAGGGGUAAAAUCCGUAGAUAUCACUAGGAAUACCUAAAGCGAAGGCGAUCUCCUGGAACAUAACUGACGCUAAGGCAUGAAAGCGUGGGGAGCAAACAGGAUUAGAUACCCGGGUAGUC